rnacentral:rRNA from 1 species
UUUUAAAUAAGGACUAGAACAAAAGAUUUAACAUUUUAAAUUAUUUAUUAAAUUAAAUUUUCCAAUUUAUUUUAAAUGUAAAAAAACAUUUAUAAAAAAAAAAGACGACAAGACCCUAUUGAACUUAACUUAAGUUAUACUGGGGCAGUAAGUUAAGUAUAAUUUUAAUUUAUAUAUUAAACUAAAUAUCCAAUUAAUUUGAAUUAUUCAGUUACCAUAGGGAUAACAGCGCAAUUAUAUUUUAAAGCUCUCAUUUUAAAAAUAGAUUACGACCUCGAUGUUGAAUUAAUAACCUAAUUAAAGCAAAUUUUAAAAAAGGAAGUCUGUUCGACUUUUAAAAAAUUACAUGAUUUGAGUUCAGACCGGUGUAAGCCAGGUCGGCUUCUAUCUUUUAUAUAAAUUUUAUGUAGUACGAAAGGACCUAUAAAUAUAAUUUCAUUAUAUAAUUGGCAGACAAUUGCAUUAGAAUUAGAAUCUAAUUAAUCUUAU